rnacentral:rRNA from 1 species
CCUACGGGAGGCAGCAGUGGGGAAUAUUGCACAAUGGGGGAAACCCUGAUGCAGCGACGCCGCGUGCGUGAAGCAGUAUUUCGGUAUGGAAAGCUCUAUCAGUAGGGAAGAUAAUGACGGUACCUGAGUAAGAAGGACAGGCUAACUACGUGCCAGCAGCCGCGGUAACACGUAGGGAGCGAGCGUUAUACGGAUUUACUGGGUGUAAAGGGAGCGUAGACGGCAUGGCAAGUCUGAAGUGAAAGCCCGGGGCUCAACCCCGGGACUGCCUUGGAAACUGUUAAGCUGGCGUGCAGUAGGGGUAAGUGGAAUUUCUAGUGUAGCGGUGAAAUGCUUAGAGAUUAGACAGAACACCAGUGGCGAAGGCAGCUUACUGGACUAUAUCUGACGUUGAGGCUCGAAAGCGUGGGGAGCAAACAGGAUUAGAUACCCUUGUAGUC